rnacentral:rRNA from 1 species
GGUCAAGGGGGGGGAAGUCUGAUGCAGCCACGCCGCGUGAGUGAUGAAGGCCUUCGGGUUGUAAAGCUCUUUCUUCGGGGACGAAGGAGGGGCGGCUAAUACCCGUGGGCCUUGACGUUACCCCGUCAAAAAGCCCCGGGUAAAAACGUGCCCCCGCCGCGAUAAAAA